GGUGCUGUGGCUAAGUUGGUCAAAGUGCCUGUCUAGUAACCAGGAGAUCCUGGGUUUGAAUCCCAUCAGUACCU
rfam:Danio rerio chromosome 4, GRCz11 reference primary assembly.